GCGCCCGUAGCUCAGCUGGAUAGAGCGACAGCCUCCGAAGCUGUAGGCCGCGCGUUCGAAUCGCGCCGGGCGUA
rnacentral:tRNA from 1 species